CGACUGUUUACCAAAAACACAGGUCUCCGCAAAGUCAUAAGACCAUGUAUGGGGGCUGACGCCUGCCCAGUGCCGGAAGGUCAAGGAAGUUGGUGAACUGAUGACAGGGAAGCCGGCGACCGAAGCCCCGGUGAACGGCGGCCGUAACUAUAACGGUCCUAAGGUAGCGAAAUUCCUUGUCGGGUAAGUUCCGACCCGCACGAAAGGCGUAACGA
rnacentral:rRNA from 9 species